GGCACGGUGGUUUAGUGGUUAGCACGUUUGCUUCGCACCUCAGGGGUUGGGGGUCCGAAGCCCUCCUCCGCCC